UACGUAGGGUGCAAGCGUUGUCCGGAUUUAUUGGGCGUAAAGAGCUCGUAGGCGGUUUGUCGCGUCGGAUGUGAAAACCCAGGGCUCAACCCUGGGCCUGCAUUCGAUACGGGCAAACUAGAGUAUGGCAGGGGAGACUGGAAUUCCUGGUGUAGCGGUGAAAUGCGCAGAUAUCAGGAGGAACACCGGUGGCGAAGGCGGGUCUCUGGGCCAAAACUGACGCUGAGGAGCGAAAGCGUGGGGAGCAAACAGG
rnacentral:rRNA from 1 species